GGGGACGACCUGGCUUCGACGUGGGUAGCAAAACCUUAGGUGCAUGUCGAGGACAGUACACCUCGUAAAAUCUACUGACAAAAUGUAUUCGCAAAUGACGAAAACUACUCAAUGGCUUUAGCUGCUUAAACCCAGCACCAUUCUCCUGGCUACAUGUGCUUAUGCGUGUAGAGUCCUUCGGGACAUCCAGGAGUCACUCUACAUAAGAUCGCGCUAAGAACUUUGUUCGGAGUUCUGUCCCGCUAAACCCAAUCGAAAUCGCUAAAAGUAUCUUGGUCCGACGGGUAGCUUUUAGUUAAAUCAAAGUGCGGAAUAAACAUGUAGAUCCAAAGGCGGAGUGCUUGCGGACGGGGGUUCAAUUCCCCCCGUCUCCACCA
rnacentral:tmRNA from 1 species